CCAGACUACCAACUAAGGCCCCUAAGCGUGUGCUAAGUGGGAAAGGAUGUGGAGUUGCACAGACAACCAGGAGGUUGGCUUAGAAGCAGCCACCCUUGAAAGAGUGCGUAAUAGCUCACUGGUCAAGUGAUUCCGCGCCGACAAUGUAACGGGGCUCAAGCACGCCACCGAAGUUGUGGCAUUGACAUUAUUGGUAGGCCUUCGUGGUCCAGCCGUGUUGAUGGGUAGGAGAGCGUCGUGUGGCCAGCGAAGCGGCGGUGUGAACCAGCCGUGGAGGCUACACGAGUGAGAAUGCAGGCAUGAGUAGCGAAAGACAUGUGAGAAACAUGUCCUCCGAAAGACCAAGGGUUCCAGGGUCAAGCUAAUCUUCCCUGGGUAAGUCGGGACCUAAGGCGAGGCCGACAGGCGUAGUCGAUGGACAACGGGUUGAUAUUCCCGUACCGGCGAAGAACCGCCCAAGCUAAUCCAGUAGUGCUAAGAGUCCUAAUCCGGCAGAUGGAUCCCUUCGGGGUGAAGCAGCCGGCCUAACGCUCGACCCCAUGCUGGUGCGGCUAGCGUAUUAACAGGUGUGACGCAGGAAGGUAGCUGAGCCAGGCGAUGGUUGUCCUGGUGUAAGGACGUAGGGCGAGAGAUAGGCAAAUCCGUCUCUCACAUAGCCUGAGAUCCGAUGCGUACCCCUCACGGGGGAAAUCAGUGAUCCUAUGCUGCCGAGAAAAGCAUCGACGCGAGGUUCAAGCCGCCCGUACCCCAAACCGACUCAGGUGGUCAGGUAGAGAAUACCAAGGAGAUCGAGAGAAUCGUGGUUAAGGAACUCGGCAAAAUGCCCCCGUAACUUCGGGAGAAGGGGGGCCACCCGCUUAUACGGACUUGCUCCGGAAAGGGUGUGGUGGCCGCAGAGACUAGUGGGUAGCGACUGUUUACUAAAAACACAGGUCCGUGCUAAGACGCAAGUCGACGUAUACGGACUGACGCCUGCCCGGUGCUGGAAGGUUAAGAGGACCGGUUAGCCGCAAGGCGAAGCUGAGAAUUUAAGCCCCAGUAAACGGCGGUGGUAACUAUAACCAUCCUAAGGUAGCGAAAUUCCUUGUCGGGUAAGUUCCGACCUGCACGAAUGGCGUAACGACUUCCCAGCUGUCUCAACCGCGAACUCGGCGAAAUUGCACUACGAGUAAAGAUGCUCGUUACGCGCAGCAGGACGGAAAGACCCCGUGACCUUUACUACAGUUUGGUAUUGGUGUUCGGAGUGGCUUGUGUAGGAUAGGUGGGAGACUGUGAAGCGGGCACGCUAGUGUUCGUGGAGUCAUUGUUGAAAUACCACUCUGGUCACUUUGGAUGUCUAACGUAGGACCCUGAUCGGGUUCAUGGACAGUGCCUGAUGGGUAGUUUAACUGGGGCGGUUGCCUCCUUAAAUGUAACGGAGGCGCCCAAAGGUUCCCUCAGCCUGGUUGGCAAUCAGGUUUUGAGUGUAAGUGCACAAGGGAGCUUGACUGUGAGAGUGACAGCUCGAGCAGGGACGAAAGUCGGGACUAGUGAUCCGG
rnacentral:rRNA from 1 species